GGGGAGCCACGCCCGCCGCGCCGACGUCUCUGCGCAUGCUCUGCGCGUCGGCUUCUGGUACUUUCGACCCGGCUACCGCCGCCCUCACUUCGGGGCUAGAGGUGGAAGGGGGUGGUUGACGCUCCGCUUUUCCAGAGCAGCCUCCGAAACCCUCUCUUCGUCCUCAGCUUCGGAAGGAGGGUGUCCGUGGGUCCUUUCCUUUCGCCUUCGCGGUGAGGCGUCGACGGCCUGUGGCGGUUUUAGGCGCCAGGUUUCCGGGCAGGGAUCCUCUGACGGAGGGAAGCUUGCAGCCUCGGGCCGAGAUGUCCCACUACGUGAACGACCUGUGGCCCGGCUCGCCUCAGGACGGGGAGUCCCCCUCGACGUCCCGGUCGGGCGAGUCCGGCCGCCUGUCCUCGGCGUCCAGGAGCCGCUCGUCUAGCGGAAGCUCUCGGUCUCGCUCCAGCGGCUCGAGCCGGGCGUCGUCGCGGAGUCGCAGUCGGAGCCGGCCCCGGAGGAGGGGCAGGUCGAGGUCCGGGUCCGUUAGGCGCCACCAGAGGAAGUACAGGCGCUACUCGCGCUCCUACUCGCGCAGCCGGUCGCGCUCCCGCGGCCGCCGGUACCGGGACCGGCGCUACGGCGCGACCGGGAGAUACCGCCGGUCGCCGUCCCGGCCGCGCUCCCGGAGCCGGUCCGGCUCGCGGGGACGCUCGUAUUACCGACGGGCCUACGCGCUGCCGCAGGGCCGGCGCUACUACGGCUUCGGCCGCACCCUGUACCCGGAGGAACGCGGAAGUUGGAGGGGCAGGUCCCGGAGCCGGUCGCGGAGCCCCACCCCUUUUCGCUUGAGCGAGAAAGAUCGAAUGGAGCUGUUAGAAAUAGCAAAAGCUAAUGCAGCAAAAGCUUUAGGAACAGCCAACUUUGACUUGCCAGCUAGUCUCAGAACUGUUCUUGGAUCUAGAGAAACCAACCGUGGAACAGCUGUACCAAACAGUGGUGCAAAGUUUGAGGUAAGUAUGGUAGGUUUAGCCAAACAAAAUCUUCAGAAAACUACUGUUAGGAAGAUCUAAUAAGCCAUUUUUAUUUGAUUUAUUUUAGAGUGUUUCUUGGAAAGCCUAAAUAAAAUAUGUUAAGAUCAAAAUAAUUCUAGAAAGGGUCUCUCCCCCCAUGAAAAUGGGAGAUUAAUGAUGUUUAUUUUUAUGUGACUUAGUAGUAGUUAUUUUCAUAGUUGUAGGUGAUACUUUGGCAAUUUCUAUGUAGCUAUCAAAUUUUUCUAAGCAGCCUUUACAGAGUAUUUUAUCAGUAGUUUUCAUUUGCAGCAUUAUGUUCCCACAAAAUCUCUUUUUCAGCAUACAGUAUAGUUUAUCUGCUUUAUUUCUGUCUUAUAGAAAUCAUGAAUGUGGUCUCCAGACAUUGAUGAAGAAAAUCUGUUGAUGUUUUGAGAAAUUACAGAAGAAGAGGCCUACUUCACUUGCAGAUAAGUUUAUUAUAAUUCUCCAGAAAUGUGCAGGAUGUGCAUUGGCAAAUUGCACUGUGGUCUUAAUUAUAUGAAAUAGAAAGUAUAAAAUUCGUAGUCUCCAAGAUUUUAUGAUAGUUAUGGGUUUGAUAGGUUUGUCUAGAGAACAUCUUAACUGAUUCUAUCAUUCAGACCCAGGGUUUUUGCUUAAGUGUUUAGUAGUAAACAGUAGUUUACUACUGUUAAGUAGUAAACAUCUUAAUUGGUUCUAUCAUUCAUACCCAGGGUUUUGCUUAAGUGUUUAGUAAUAAACAGGAUCUUGGUGAUCUUAGUCGAGUUGGUUCAAAUGAUUAGGUUUCCAUGUGGCAAGUGCCUUAGUUCUUUGAAACUAGUUAUUUUCUGGUAUGACUUUACUUUCAGAGUUACUUGAAUUUACAUCAGGGCAAUAUAAUACUGUUUAAUGAGGAAGAGUGUCUUAAGGCGAUUAUUGAAUCAAUUUUGUUAUGGGAAAGCUGGAAUACUAAUGUUGAGGCUGUUAACUAUGUGGUUAGAUCCAACUUGAUUUGUGUCUCUACAAUUUAUAUACAGUUGGGCUGCAUUUAUACAGUAUGGUAAACUAAGGGUGAAUGGUUUUCUGAAAAUGUUUUUUCUCUUAAUCUGUUUAGUUGUCGGAAAAGCUAUCAGAAGAUGGAACUAAAAAUCCCAGUGAAAAGUCUUCCCAGCACAAAUGCAUAGCUUUUAGCUCUAAUAAUUCUGUAGCAAAGCCAAUGCUUCAGAAACCAGCUAAAGCUACUGCUGAAGAGACCUCUUCAGGAACUCCCAAAAUAGAUAAGAAAAAAAGUCCGUAUGGACUGUGGAUACCUGUCUGAAAAAAAAAUUAAUGUAGAAGGUUGGCUUAAAUGCACUUUAUUGCAGAUGUGUAUUCCUAGCAUUAUUGCAUCUGUGGGAGUCAUUUAGUGGUAAUUGUUGCAGUUCCAAAGGAUGAUACAUAAAUAUGUAAAUCCUUAAUAUAUUAGAUUAACAUUUUAGAUUUCUCUUAUAGAUAAGAAAUAACACAUGGACCAGAGGAUUCAUACAGGUGGGAGUCUUGUACAUACACUUGUAAAUGUUUUGUAUAAUAGUGUAUAUGUAAAAGCAAAAUUUAUAAGAGAAAACAGUGAUUGUUUAUAUUUAAUAAAUUUGUUUUUUAAAAUUUG